GAUGAAGAACGUAGCAAAAUGCGAUAAGUAGUGUGAAUUGCAGAAUUCAGUGAAUCAUCGAAUCUUUGAACGCACCUUGCGCCCUUUGGCCAUUCCGAAGGGCAUGCCUGUUUGAGUAUCAUGAACACCUCAACUCUUUAUGGUUUUCCAUGAUGAGCUUGGACUCUGGGGGUUUUGCUGGCUCACAGUCGGCUCCUCUAAAAUGAAUCAGCUUACCAGUGUUUGGUGGGUAUCAUGGGUGUGAUAACUAUCUACGCUUGUGGUUUUUCCACCAGGUAACCUUCAGCAGUGGAGGUUCGCUGGAGCUCAUAGAUGUCUCUCCUCAGUGAGGACAGCCCUUUGAAUGUUUGAUCUCAAAUCAGGUAGGACUACCCGCUGAACUUAAGCAUAUCAAUAAGCGGAGGA
rnacentral:misc_RNA from 1 species